CCUACGGGUGGCAGCAGUGGGGGAUAUUGCACAAUGGGGAAACCCUUAUGCAGCGACGCCGCGUGGGCGAAGAAGUAUUUCGGUAUGUAAAGCCCUAUCAGCAGGGAAGGAGAAAUGACGGUUCCUGAGUUAGAAGCACCGGCGAAAAACGUGACAGCCGCCGCGGUAAGACGUAUGGUUCCAGCGUUAUCCGGAUUUACUGGGUGUAAAGGGAGCGGAGGCGGCACGGCAAGCCUGAUGUGAAAGCCCGCGGCCCAACCGCGGGACUGCAUUGGGAACUACCGGGCUGGAGUGCCGGAGAGGUAGGCGGAAUUCCCAGUGUAGCGGUGAAAUGCGUAGAUAUUAGGAGGAACACCAGUGGCGAAGGCGGCCUACUGGACGGUGACUGACGCUGAGGCUCGAAAGCGUGGGGAGCAAACAGGAUUAGAUACCCUAGUAGUC
rnacentral:rRNA from 1 species